GAUCCUGGCUCAGGACGAACGCUGGCGGCGCGCCUAACACAUGCAAGUCGAACGAGCGAGAGAGAGUUUGCUUUCUCGAGCGAGUGGCGAACGGGUGAGUAACGCGUGAGGAACCUGCCUCAAAGAGGGGGACAACAGUUGGAAACGACUGCUAAUACCGCAUAAGCCCACGGCACGGCAUCGAGCAGAGGGAAAAGGAGCAAUCCGCUUUGGGAUGGCCUCGCGUCCGAUUAG
rnacentral:rRNA from 1 species